UUCUAGUACGGGCAAUAUAUUACUCUAAUUUGACGCGAAUUUAAUCGAUUACGUAUCCUAAUUAAUGAAUCUAGGUAUUGUGUUUAGUGAUCCUAUUCAUUAGGUGUAUCUAUACAUAGUGUGUAAAAAGCUCGAGUAAGCUAUCCGCGUUAAAACUGUCAAAAAGCUUAUCUGUGGACUAAAAUAGUGACUACAAUUGUUGUGGAUGUGAGCAUGCCUAAUGCCCACACAUAUUUCUGUAAAUGCACAUGUUUAUCGGCGCUCCACUUUUCAUGAUACUUCGCUAGGCACUUGACAUUGGCCUGGUCGAAGCUAAAAGGAAAGUAGAAAAUAAAGCGGUUCCGAUCGAAGACAGACAUGUCAUCAGUUUUCUCCUUCGUUUUUAGGUCACGUCAAACUUUAUUGUAAUUUCAAGUAGUUUGACUAACAACAAGUAAAUAUCGAAAUAGAUAUAGCUUCUUCUAUAAUUUGGAUUAAACUCGAAAUGGUAAACGUUAGUUAGCAACACGGAGAAAGGUAAAUUUUUAUGACAACGCAAAAAUUAACAAUUUUCGGUAGUAAGAAAAUUUGU